GGAGAGCUUCCCGAGUGGUCUAAGGGGCAUGAUUGGAAAUCAUGUGUAGGAUUUCCUACCCAGGGUUCGAAUCCCUGGCUCUCCG
rnacentral:tRNA from 1 species